rnacentral:tRNA from 1 species
GGGCGAUUAGCUCAGUUGGCUAGAGCGCGACAUUGACGUUGUCGAGGUCAGAGGUUCGACUCCUCUAUCGCCCACCA